GAUGAACGCUAGCGACAGGCUUAACACAUGCAAGUCGAGGGGCAGCGAGGGCGUAGCAAUACGCCUGUCGGCGACCGGCGCACUGGUGAGUAAACACGUAUGCGACCUGCCCCCUACAGGGGUAGUAACCCGUAGAAUGCGGACUAAUCCCCCACUAGUCCCGCGGGCUGCAUGGCCUGCGGGGGAAAGGGUCAGCCGGUAGGGGAUGGGCAUGCGGCGCAUUAGCUAGUUGGCGGGGCAACGGCCCACCAAGGCGACGAUGCGUAGGGGUUCUGAGAGGAAGGUCCCCCACACUGGUACUGAGACACGGACCAGACUCCUACGGGAGGCAGCAGUGAGGAAUAUUGGUCAAUGGGCGCAGGCCUGAAACCAGCCAAGUCGCGUGAGGGAAGACGGUCCUACGGAUUGUAAACCUCUUUUGUCGGGGAGUAACGUGCGGGACGCGUCCCGUAUUGAGAGUACCCGAAGAAAAGCAUCGGCUAACUCCGUGCCAGCAGCCGCGGUAAG
rnacentral:rRNA from 1 species